rnacentral:rRNA from 1 species
AGUGAACGCUGGCGGUAGGCCUAACACAUGCAAGUCGAACGGCAGCACAGUAAGAGCUUGCUCUUACGGGUGGCGAGUGGCGGACGGGUGAGGAAUACAUCGGAAUCUACUUUUUCGUGGGGGAUAACGUAGGGAAGCUUACGCUAAUACCGCAUACGACCUACGGGUGAAAGCAGGGGAUCUUCGGACCUUGCGCGAUUGAAUGAGCCGAUGUCGGAUUAGCUAGUUGGCGGGGUAAAGGCCCACCAAGGCGACGAUCCGUAGCUGGUCUGAGAGGAUGAUCAGCCGCACUGGAACUGAGACACGGUCCAGACUCCUACGGGAGGCAGCAGUGGGGAAUAUUGGACAAUGGGCGCAAGCCUGAUCCAGCCAUACCGCGUGGGUGAAGAAGGCCUUCGGGUUGUAAAGCCCUUUUGUUGGGAAAGAAAAGCAGCAGGUUAAUACCCCGCUGCUCUGACGGUACCCAAAGAAUAAGCACCGGCUAACUUCGUG